UUUGAAGGGUGGAUAGUCGCUUAUUUAAUAAGAGGAAAGUCCGGACUCCAAAAGGAAAGAUGCCAGUUAAUAGCUGGGCAUUGGCUUUGGCCAGUGACGGAACAGUGCCGCAGAAAAUAUACCGCCAUCUAAUGGUAAGGGUGAAAAUGUGAGGUAAGAGCUCACAUAUAUUAUUGGUAACAAUAAUAUAGGUAAACCCCGUCUGGAGCAAGACCAAAUAGAGAUAUGCGCAUAUCCUUUUGCACAUCAUAUCUGGGUAGGUUGCUUGAGGUUAUUGGUGACAAUAAUCCUAGAUGAAUGGCUAUCACUGAUUAUCUUUGAUUUUCAGCACAGAAUCCGGCUUACAGCCCUUCAAUAUUU
rnacentral:RNase_P_RNA from 1 species